GUGCUCGCUUCGGCAGCACAUGUACUACAGUUGGAACGAUACAGAGAUGACCAUGGCCCCUGAGCAAGGAUGACACGCAAAUUUCUAAAAAAAACCACCUAUGU